UGGAGCAUGUAAGGGCGGGGUAAACUUGUAUGGGCAGUAAAUAUUGAAUUUGAAAAUGGAUCUUAAACCAUCACAUAUUUUUUAUUUGCAAGAUUCUUUCAAUAAUUUCUUUGAUAAGCGAUCAUCGCACAACAGAGCAAAAAUUGAAGAAACCUUGGAUAACAUCUGUGAAGGAGGAUUUCAUAAAAAAUGCGCUUCCAAAAUAUUAUUUAGAUUAAAGAUUGAACAUGAAAAAGCUUAGAAACGCAGAAGACAAACAUAACGCUAGUAGGUCAAAGACGCACAUAGUUUUAGGUAUAAUGAAACAAGUUCACUAACAAUUUCCCUUAGCAUGUUAUAAAAAGAACGAGUUUUUGCCAAAUAUGACACGGUACGAUUCUCACAGCUUUCGGACAUAAGAUUGUCUGUUUCAUACUUAAAUAUACUCAGUUGAUUGCUUGCACAAAGCAGGGCAAUCCUUCAAUAUCAACGGUCAAAGACUCUUCUGUUUACAACAGCUUCAUUCGUGCUACAGAACCUAAACCGUACGCAUCAGAACCACACUAUAUCUUGCCAACAAGCCGGCAUUAUCCAUUCACGACUGAGGAUGAUUGUGAUCGAUACAUUUACGAUGAAGAUUAUGAUGAUUUCAAUGAAGAGGAACAAUAUGAUAGUUUAACAAUGGAUGAAAAUUACGAUCAAUUUACGACUGAGGAAGAUUUUGAAAGAUUUACGACUGAAGACGAUUAUUAUCAAGAAACGACUGAGGACGACUAUUAUCAAGUUACGAUUGAGGGUGACUAUGCUAAUUUUUCGACCGAUUUUGAUCAAUUUAUGGCUGAGGACGAUUGUGAUCAAUUUACGACUGAAGACGACUAUGAUCAAUUUACGCCUGAGUACGAUUAUGAUCACUCUACCACUGAGGAAGAUUAUGAUUUAUAUACGUGUGAGGUUAACCAAUAUGAUUAUCAUGACUAUGAACUUUGAAUCAAAUUCUUUAAAAAAUUGUAACUGUAAAUUAUGUCAUUAUCGCUGUACGAGCGCUCCAAAUAUGUAUGCAAAAAUAUAUUGAGCGUGAGACAACACUUAAUUUGUUUUAAUAAAUAUUGUAUUUCAAUUAAAAAUAAAACUGUAUAUAUCAAUUUUAAUACAAGUUAUUUUUACUUGUACAAUAUAAGGUAUUUUAUUUUCAAAUUCAUUAAUGCUUUAUGACUAAAUCACAUAAUCUAUUUAAAAAGCCCAAUUCACAAUUAGACAUUCUGAUGUAAGUGUUAUGCUUUUAACUGAAGUAUUUGUAUACAUAGCUUGUAAGAGACUGUCAGAUACAUUUACAUGUACUACGUAACACAUAUAUCGUACAAGCAUGACUGAAUAAUAAAUAAGUAGUUACAUCCAUCGCAUUUUAUAUUAAAUACUAGUAGUUGCACAAUGAAUCAGCGUGUCGGUUCAUCUAAAUGGCUUUUUAAAUCUAAACAUUGCAUUAUAUCUCUUUAAAUAUGCGAAUCACUUACAAAGUCAUUGAAGACUGUACUUAAUCAAGUGUUAUUAAUAAACAUUCACUUUACGAUUAAGUACACUAAAUUCUUUCACUUUCAUGUCAACGUUUAGUAUUUGAAGAGCAGCUUACCCAAAAAUUAUAUCGUAAUAUACAGUUCACGUAAAUUGUGUGGUAGUAAUACAGCUGAUCAAAAAAGAAAUGCUAUUUUAAGACAUUCAUCAUGUGGGAUUCCAAAUAUAAAAAAAGAUCCAAUUUUGUGUUGUGAAUAUCAAAUAUAUGAUCUCAUGAUAAUAUUAAUUCACUUGUGUUACCAGAAAUAAACAACUAUUUAAAAGCAGGGAAGAACUUCUUAUAAGCAAAAAAAUUAGCUUGAUGGAUUUUAUAUAUCAUUCAUUAAAAUAAUUUAGUAUAACAGAUGUCUUUGUUACAGUUAAAUAACGCCCCGGUAUAAAUUUAGUUGUAGUUUUCAAAAUUCUUAUAUUUCUUAUGAUUUUAUCAAUGAAAAUAACACAGACGUUUUAGGAAGGGCAGAUGAGUUUGCCAUUUCAUUUGUAUCGCGAUAUACGCUACAAACUUGGCUGGAUGUUUGGUUGACGCUAUAAGACAAAAUUGCUAUUAUAUAUUUUCGAAAUUAAUAUUUGAACAAUGUGCCCACAAAACUUCUUAUUAGAUUUGAAU